rnacentral:lncRNA from 1 species
CUUUUUAAAGGCCGCACCUGCUGGCAUAGGGAAGUUCCCAGGCCAGGGGUAGAAUUGGAGAUAUAGCUGCCAACCUACACCACAGCCACAGCAAUGUGGGAUCUGAGUCACAUCUGUGACCUACACUACAACUCACAACAGCACUGGAUCCCCAACCCACUGAGCAAGGCCAGGGAUCGAACUUGCAUCCUCAUGGUUACAAGAUGGAUUUGUUUCUGCUGCGCCUAAAGGGGAACUCCUAGAAUGUGUCUUGAUAAAAAGAACCACCAUCUAUCCUUUUACUCAAAUGAGAAACCUGGGAAUUAUCCAUAGAGUCUCACCUUUUCUAUCAAAUGGGUCCCCAAACCUGUGAAUUCUAUGUCCUGCGUCUCUUCUCAGUUUGACCCUGCCAUCUCUACCUCUUCAGGGAGGCCCCCCCUCAUGAUUUCUUACCUAGAUCAGUGCUUUUCUGUCCUUAAUUGGCAUCCCUACAUAAUUUCCCUCUACCCACCAGUCCUGAAAACCAGGCGGUAUUGGUUUUCUUGGCUGUCAUGACAAACAGCGCAGACUGUGGGGGAGGGGUAAGCAAGAGAGAUUUAUUUUUCUCCUCCUGGAGGCUGGAGGUGCAAGAUCAAGGGGUCCCUAGUAUUGGUUUCUUCCAAGGUCUCUCUCCUUGGAUUGCAGAAGGCCACCUUAUUGCUGUGUCCUCAGGUGGGGGCCCCCUUGGGCUGUGUGUCAUCUAUGACCUAAUCUUCUGAAAAAAAUCAGUCACGGUGGGUUAGUGCCCAUCCUAGUGGCCUCUUUUUACGUCCAUCACCUCUGUAAAGGCUCUUUCUCCGUAGACAGUCAUAUCUUGAGGCUAGGACUCAAUAUGUGAAUUUCAAAUGAACACAUUUCAGGCUAAAAUAGGGAGAUUUCUAAGUUAAAAAGGUAAGCAGUCCACUCCACUGCAUAUGCCCUUCAAUAGAUCCCUGUGACCUUCAGGCUAAAGUCAAGUUCCUUAGCUUCCCUCGGGAGGCCUUCUAAAUGCUGGGACCCUGAUUAUCCUUCUGCCGAUCUCCUUCCUACCCUAAAACUAGAUUUCUAUUGCUGUGCCAGGCGCCAUUCUAAAACCUUAUGAAUACUGACUAAUUUCCUCCUUGAGGAACUGAGAUGCAGAAACAGUGUUGUCGUCCUGCACGCCAGGUGGGGAAUCCACCGGGUGAGCCCCGUGUGUUAAUAACCUCUCAAUCCUCCAUACCUAGCCCAGGGUCUAGGAGGACGCCGACGCUCAUAAGAGAUUGUUAAAUGCAGUAUUUCCAAGCCAGGUUUUGGCCUUCCAUGCGGCGUGUUGGCCCCAUCAAAACCUGUGUGGGGCCAGUGAAGGCAGGCCCCCUUGGGGUGAAAUUCUAAAGCAGGUGUGAACACAUGACUGAGCAAAUGACCACCAUGUCCUGUGACCAAAAACACCUGCUUCCAUCAGAGGGUGACAGAGUCCAGUGGCCAUAGUUCACACUCAGUUUAGCAUCAAGGGACAAGAACACCAGGCUGGAAGGGACAAUGGGAAUUCAGAGGCUCUGCAUGCCCUGAUGGGAAGGGAAGCCAGCUGUCCUUUUCAAAGAAGCAAGGCAGGAUGGCCAGGAAGGUCUUCAAAAUGCUGAGUGGACAACACACAAAUUAACUCACUGAUAGAAGGUUUUUGGCAUUUACAUUUCAUUUCCCACCUUUUGGGAUCCAGACAAUGAUGUGUUUGGGCUGGAGACAAUAUGAGGCUCAAGCCAGAAGGGUUUCCUCCACCCCCGCCUCCACAGAGCUGCCUUAAGAGGCUUUGGAAAUAGAGUGGGGCUUGAGAACCUUGUUUUUCCUGAGAUAACUUAGAGAAAUGCUUGAGGAUUGGGAUGGGGACACUUUUCAGCAUUUGGGGGUUUGGAAAAUAAUACUAAUCUUGUGAGUCCUCUUUCUCUUUUUCCUUCUUUCAACUCUUAGAUUGUAAGAGGCUCAUAAGAGAAUCGGUUUUAAACUAAGACAUUGCCGGAAGACACCACACCUAUUUCAGAGGGAAGUAACCCAGCUUAGUAGCUGCAUAAGGAACCUCAAGUCCCCAAGGACUCAGACUAAGACUGAAAAGCCUAAGAAAUCAGGGAAGAGGGUUCCAACACUUUAACCUAAGCAUUUGGAAUUUUGGAGUCUUAAUUUAGAAGGACAAAAAUCCUGUGAUCUUGUCAAUUAAAGAAAUCCUUAACUGCUUUGAGAUUCAACUGGCAAGGGAUUUUAUUUUCCAACUAUACCUUCCCAGUAGGACCUUGACACUGGGAGGGGUUUAUACUGGAGUUUGAACACCUUCAAUAUUGGCACUGGAUUGGUGAAGCGUCCUUGUGCGUUUCAGUAUCAGCCUGUCUUCCCAUUUUAUUCUCUCUCCUUGCAGAACUUCUGAUGGAGACACAGCCCGGCUGGAACUACUUGGGACAGGAAGAGAGAAAUGAGUCAAGUUCAGACUUAGUGGAAGACAUCUUGCUGUUGACCCAUUUCAAGUCUUUUGGUGGCAAAAUCUCAACCACCCCCCAAGGGUCCUGGGAGCCACACUGAGGAGCAGGCAUUAGUCUCAGGCCGUGGAGUGGGCAGGACCCAUCAGAGGGAUCAGCUAGACUGUCCCUCUGCUGGCCUCCUUUCAGGGACGGCAGCAUCAUUUUCUUGCUUUCCCAGCCCACUGUUUUGGGGACAUGCUUGGCUAGGGUAAGUCAGGGCCAUUGAUGCCUCAUCUCCUCCUGUUUUUCUUUCUGUAACCCAGAGGCCCUGCAGGGCCCUGCUCGGUCACAGGACCAGUUCAAGAAAAUAGCUACCGCCAUCAUUGGGUGUCGGCGCCAUGCUCAUGUAUGUAUCUCCUCUAAUCUUCAAAAUAAUGCUGGAGGUGCAGUAUUCAAAAUAAUGCAGAAGUGGAAGUUCCCUUCAUGGCUCAGUGGUUAACUAGGAUCCACAAGGAUGCAGGUUCGAUCCCUGGCCUCGCUCAGUGGGUUGAAGAUCUGGCAUUGCCCCGAGCUGUGGUAUAGGUCGCAGACACAUUUUGGAUCCUGAGUUGCUGUGGCUGUGGUGUAACCCAGCAAAUGUAGCUACGAUUUGACCCCUAGCCUGGGAAUCUCCAUAUGACACAAGUGCAGCCCUAAAAAGAAAAGGAAAAAAAAAAAAAAGGCAGGAGAUGGGCCAACAGAGAAGAUGGGUUACUUGGCUCCCCAUAAAAAGAUUAACUAAUGCCAUUUGCAGCAAGGUGGCUGGACCUGGACAUGAUCAUACUGACUGCAGCAAGCCAGGCAGAUACCACAUGAUGUCCCUUAUGCGUAGAAUCUAAAAAAGAAAAGCUACAAAUAAACUUAUUUACAAAUCAGAAAUAGACUCACAGACAUAGAAAACAAACUUAUGGUUCCCAAAGGGGAAAGCGGGAGGGAGAGAUAAAUUAGGAAGUGGGGAUUAACAUGCAUACGCUACUGUAUAUGAACUAGAUAAUGAACAAGGACAUACUGUAUACCACAGGAAACUCCACUCAAUGUGUUAUAAUAAUUUACAAUGGAAAAGAAUCUGGAAAAGAAUAUAUGUGUGUGUGUGUGUGUGUGUGUAUACACACACACAUAUAUAUGAAUUGCUUUGCUGUACACCUGAAACUAACAACAUUGUAAAUCAACUAUACUUUAAAAAAAAAAAAAUGGUGACUUGUCUCCCAAAACUGUGAAGCUGGGAAGUUGGGACUCAAUGUUGGAUUUCAAAGUUCCCAGCUUGUUCCAUCAAAGGACAGCACCCACCUCUCCUUCCUGGGACCAGAAUCCGCAGGCCCAGGCUCCAUCUCUGACUUUGCCGUUUCCAUCAUGAACCUAGUCUUGUCCCUGAACCUUCGAGGCUCAGACCCCAUCAGUGAAAGGAGGCUGCCGGACCCUCACCCACGGAUCUUCCAGGGGUGCAGAUGUGACCACAAUCUUGCACAACGUUUUAAUCACAAAAUCAGAGCCGAGUGAAAUCGUACGGCUCUCCAGGCAACAAGACACAGACGGAGGAAAACGCUUUCUUUCCCCUUCAAGUUUUCAUUUC